AGCAGUGGGGAAUAUUGGACAAUGGGCGAAAGCCUGAUCCAGCAAUGCCGCGUGAGUGAUGAAGGCCUUAGGGUUGUAAAGCUCUUUUACCCGGGAUGAUAAUGACAGUACCGGGAGAAUAAGCUCCGGCUAACUCCGUGCCAGCAGCCGCGGUAAUACGGAGGGAGCUAGCGUUGUUCGGAAUUACUGGGCGUAAAGCGCGCGUAGGCGGUUAUUCAAGUCAGAGGUGAAAGCCCGGGGCUCAACCCCGGAACUGCCUUUGAAACUAGGUAACUAGAAUCAUGGAGAGGUCAGUGGAAUUCCGAGUGUAGAGGUGAAAUUCGUAGAUAUUCGGAAGAACACCAGUGGCGAAGGCGACUGACUGGACAUGUAUUGACGCUGAGG
rnacentral:rRNA from 1 species